rnacentral:rRNA from 1 species
CUGACGGAGCAACGCCGCGUGAACGAUGAAGGCCUUCGGGUCGUAAAGUUCUGUUGUUAGGGAAGAACAAGUACCAGAGUAACUGCUGGUACCUUGACGGUACCUAACCAGAAAGCCACGGCUAACUACGUGCCAGCAGCCGCGGUAAUACGUAGGUGGCAAGCGUUGUCCGGAAUUAUUGGGCGUAAAGCGCGCGCAGGCGGUUUCUUAAGUCUGAUGUGAAAGCCCACGGCUCAACCGUGGAGGGUCAUUGGAAACUGGGGAACUUGAGUGCAGAAGAGGAGAGUGGAAUUCCACGUGUAGCGGUGAAAUGCGUAGAGAUGUGGAGGAACACCAGUGGCGAAGGCGACUCUCUGGUCUGUAACUGACGCUGAGGCGCGAAAGCGUGGGGAGCGAACAGGAUUAGAUACCCUGGUAGUCCACGCCGUAAACGAUGAGUGCUAAGUGUUAGAGGGUUUCCGCCCUUUAGUGCUGCAGCAAACGCA